AAAUCUAGUAUUUAUAUAUGAAAAGAAAAGGGAAUCGAAGAAGAAUAGAUCUGGUCUUUACUCAGUAGCGAUUUCGUUUGCUGGAGCAGCUUUCAUCUUUUGUUUCUUUUUAUCUAUCUCUCUGUCACCAAGUUGAAAAAGACGAAGUUGACUAGUAGCGGAGAAAUGGAAAGUAAACCUAAACGACGCAUCUAAUAUGAAAAAUAAAGAAUCUAUUACAAAGAAGAGAGGUUGUAGAAAUCAACUGGAGGUAACGUAACAUCGAAUCAUCGAUGGUCCAAAGGAAAGGUAUGAGCGGACUAAGCCUCUAUUUGUCGCGAGUUCGCGGAAAAAAAAAAGACACCCUCAAACUUUGUUGCCAGAUCUUCAUCUUGUGUGUUAUGGUUAUGAAAAGCGGACUUAGAGAUGUGAUCCCUUUCAUAUUUCUUCGUUUGACAUAGAAAAUAGAACUCAACUCAAGAGAAGAGAAUAUUAAAUAAUGCUUGAAAUCCCAGGUUACAAAAAAAAAAGAAUAUUAAAUAAUGUUUGUUGGUGGAA